CUUUAAUUUCAAUAAAAUAAAGUUUUGUACAAAUAAGUUUAACCAAUGCACAGAUGACCCAACGGCGCUACAUACGUGGCUGUCCAUCUAGGAAGCUACCCUCCACGUGGCCUUGAACCUGGAACGACGUGGCAUUAGCAGCCGAAAGCAAUUCUCCGACGUGGACUAACGAAGAUACUUGGCCCAAAAAGACUAACUUUCGUAAUGGGCUUUGAGAAUGGAUUGGCACAAAUGGGCCUGAGGCAGUACCGGCCCAUGUUUCGUAGGUUGGUAGCCCACAGAAUUCCAUUUCCCCCCAUAAAACGCUCCCUGUUCUUGGGUUCUCAAAAUGUGAACCAUUACCAAGAGUCAGUGGUUUCCGUUGAUCGCACGAAAACCGGCCAUGGAUUUGUAAAUAGAUUGAUCAAAAGCUAAGCCGUCACCUUUUUGAACGUAACAUAACUGUACAGAAGUGAUGAAAACUGAAGCCUUGAGCUAUUGGCAUGUGUGUCGGAGAAAAACUAUGUGCCGAUCUGGUUCUGUUGCCUGAGUCUCUGCUUCUUCACCGCCCCAACAAUGGGAUUUCAAUCAAACCUAAGAAUGCUUAGCCUCUGGCUUUCGUUUUCGGCUUUUGGUUCAUCCCUAAAAGAGGUUAAUAUCUAAAAAUGACCUCGACAUGGUGAUGGACACGUGUCCACCCUCCUCGAUCCUCAAAACCCUCGCGAAAAUCCAUAAAUCUUGUCCUUUCUUUCUUCUUCAGAUCUUUAUAUUCCUUCCUUCGCCUCCAUUUCCGCUCUCGCUGCUUUCUGGGUUUUCUACAGACCCUUUUUCGAUUUGGGUUUGUGUUUGUUUGGCGCUGGAAUCACCUGAUCUCCCGUUUCUCCCCUUUGCCUACGCGGGUUGAUCGUAUUGGAUUCUGCCAUCUCACAAUCCAUUUCCAUAGAAACUUUGUUGUUGGGUGAGGAUCUCGAGCAUUGAUGAUUAUUGCCUCUUGCUCGUGGUCUACCCCACGGAUCGAUUCGGGAGGCUUCAUUCGCUCUAAGGUUGGUUCCAGGAGUGUUAAUGAUUAUACAUUGUUAACUUUUCUCUCUGAAGAUCUAACAGGAACUUGGAGAAAUUUUCAAAUAUUUCGAGCCCGGCCGACGCUAAGAGAUGUGGAGUUUACAGAAUUCAGAAGCUUCUCUGAAUUUAACAUCUUCUAAAGUGAGAAUCCAUUGUUGUUUAUGUCCUUAAGCUUGGUAUUGAUCUUCUAAAGUGAUUACUUAUUUCCUUAAUAUCUGUCUGUUUGUAUAGAGGAUUGUGGUGCAUACUGCCUUUUGAAUUUGAUGUUUAUUGGACUUUCUCCAUGGAUA